rnacentral:tRNA from 1 species
GGGGGAGUAGUUCAACGGUAGAAUGCUGGUCUCCAAAACCAGCGAUGAGGGUUCGACACCUUCCUCCCCUGCCA